GUCUUCUUGGUGUAGUCGGUUAUCACGUCGGUCUCAUAUUAGACCAUGACUGCUCGAAGAGUAGACAUCCGAAGGUCGCCAGUUCGAAUCUGGCAGAGGACA